AGUGAACGCUGGCGGUAGGCCUAACACAUGCAAGUCGAACGGCAGCACAGUAAGAGCUUGCUCUUACGGGUGGCGAGUGGCGGACGGGUGAGGAAUACAUCGGAAUCUACUUUUUCGUGGGGGAUAACGUAGGGAAACUUACGCUAAUACCGCAUACGACCUACGGGUGAAAGCAGGGGAUCUUCGGACCUUGCGCGAUUGAAUGAGCCGAUGUCGGAUUAGCUAGUUGGCGGGGUAAAGGCCCACCAAGGCGACGAUCCGUAGCUGGUCUGAGAGGAUGAUCAGCCACACUGGAACUGAGACACGGUCCAGACUCCUACGGGAGGCAGCAGUGGGGAAUAUUGGACAAUGGGCGCAAGCCUGAUCCAGCCAUACCGCGUGGGUGAAGAAGGCCUUCGGGUUGUAAAGCCCUUUUGUUGGGAAAGAAAAGCAGCAGGUUAAUACCCCACUGUUCUGCCGGUACCCAAAGAAUAAGCACCGGCUAACUUCGUG
rnacentral:rRNA from 1 species